ACAGAGGGUGCAAACGUUGUUCGGAAUUACUGGGCGUAAAGCGCGUGUAGGCGGUCAGGCAAGUCGGAUGUGAAAUCCCGUGGCUCAACUACGGAAGUGCACCCGAAACUGCUUGACUUGAGUCCCGGAGAGGAAGGCGGAAUGCUUGGUGUAGAGGUGAAAUUCGUAGAUAUCAAGCGGAACACCGGUGGCGAAGGCGGCCUUCUGGACGAGGACUGACGCUGAGACGCGAAAGCGUGGGGAGCAAACAGGAUUAGAUACCCUGGUAGUCCACGCCGUAAACGAUGAGUGCUAGGUGUCACGGGCUUUGACCCCUGUGGUGCCGUAGCUAACGCAGUAAGCACUCCGCCUGGGGAGUACGGCCGCAAGGCUA
rnacentral:rRNA from 1 species